UUUAUUUAAAGAGUAGUGAGUGAAGGCUAUUAGGAUCCACACUCCAUUUCAGAAGGUGGCGGUAAUGCACACUUAAAAGUUGUUUGCCAACCGCCAAUUUAAAAAAGAAGAAGAAGUAAGUCAGUUCAUUUGGUAGAGGGAAACCAUUUGGUUGAACUCAUGCUACUGGCUUCCUCUAUGAAAGUCCUUGGUUGAGAACUCUUUGAGUUUCCGCUCAGCUAAAGGACUUUAUUUAGUCUGUCUACACUUGUCUGUCCUACAAAUGAUUGCUUUCUUCGGGUGUAAUUGAAUGGAUGCAUCUUAAUUCAACUCUGGGUUCAUCCAAUGCCAACAACACUAGGGGAUAUAGGAAAACAUUGCAUCGCACUCAAAUAACUUUGUGGACUAUCACUCAUCAAUUCUCUUACUUCAACUCUACAUGGAAUGAUAAGUUUAUUUCAUAUCACUGACUGAGUUAGAAGACGAAGUGUGUUUAAAUUGACUUUGGUUUAUUUGUUGGUUUUUGUGCCUGUAUGAACAUGUACACUGGUGGGAAGAAUAAAUUAAGAUACAAAGAUCA